UACGGAGGGUGCAAGCGUUAUCCGGAUUCACUGGGUUUAAAGGGUGCGUAGGCGGGCAGGUAAGUCCGUGGUGAAAUCUCUGAGCUUAACUCAGAAACUGCCAUGGAUACUAUUUGUCUUGAAUGUUGUGGAGGUAAGCGGAAUAUGUCAUGUAGCGGUGAAAUGCUUAGAUAUGACAUAGAACACCCAUUGCGAAGGCAGCUUACUACACAAAUAUUGACGCUGAGGCACGAAAGCGUGGGAUCAAACAGG
rnacentral:rRNA from 1 species